rnacentral:rRNA from 1 species
CGGCUCAGUAACACGUGGAUAACCUGCCCUUGGGUCCGGCAUAACCCCGGGAAACUGGGGAUAAUUCCGGAUAACGCACAUAUGCUGGAAUGCUUUAUGCGUCAAAUGGAUUCGUCCGCCCAAGGAUGGGUCUGCGGCCUAUCAGGUAGUAGUGGGUGUAAUGUACCUACUAGCCUACGACGGGUACGGGUUGUGAGAGCAAGAGCCCGGAGAUGGAUUCUGAGACAUGAAUCCAGGCCCUACGGGGCGCAGCAGGCGCGAAAACUUUACAAUGCGGGAAACCGUGAUAAGGGGACACCGAGUGCCAGCAUCAUAUGCUGGCUGUCCGGGUGUGUAAAAUACACCUGUUAGCAAGGGCCGGGCAAGACCGGUGCCAGCCGCCGCGGUAACACCGGCGGCCCGAGUGGUGAUCGUGAUUAUUGGGUCUAAAGGGUCCGUAGCCGGUUUGGUCAGUCCUCCGGGAAAUCUGACGGCUCAACCGUUAGGCUUUCGGGGGAUACUGCCAGACUUGGAACCGGGAGAGGUAAGAGGUACUACAGGGGUAGGAGUGAAAUCUUGUAAUCCCUGUGGGACCACCUGUGGCGAAGGCGUCUUACCAGAACGGGUUCGACGGUGAGGGACGAAAGCUGGGGGCACGAACCGGAUUAGAUACCCGGGUAGUCC